rnacentral:rRNA from 1 species
ACGAACGCUGGCGGCGUGCUUAACACAUGCAAGUCGAACGGAAAGGCCCUGCUUUUGUGGGGUGCUCGAGUGGCGAACGGGUGAGUAACACGUGAGUAACCUGCCCUUGACUUUGGGAUAACUUCAGGAAACUGGGGCUAAUACCGGAUAUGAGCUCCUGCUGCAUGGUGGGGGUUGGAAAGUUUCGGCGGUUGGGGAUGGACUCGCGGCUUAUCAGCUUGUUGGUGGGGUAGUGGCUUACCAAGGCUUUGACGGGUAGCCGGCCUGGGAGGGUGACCGGCCACAUUGGGACUGAGAUACGGCCCAGACUCCUACGGGAGGCAGCAGUGGGGAAUAUUGCACAAUGGGCGGAAGCCUGAUGCAGAAACGCCGCGUGCGGGAUGACGGCCUUCGGGUUGUAAACCGCUUUCGCCUGUGACGAAGCGUGAGUGACGGUAAUGGGUAAAGAAGCACCGGCUAACUACGUG